rnacentral:rRNA from 1 species
GAUGAACGCUGGCGGCGUGCCUAAUACAUGCAAGUCGAGCGAACGGACGAGAAGCUUGCUUCUCUGAUGUUAGCGGCGGACGGGUGAGUAACACGUGGAUAACCUACCUAUAAGACUGGGAUAACUUCGGGAAACCGGAGCUAAUACCGGAUGAUAUUUUGAACCGCAUGGUUCAAAAGUGAAAGAUGGUCUUGCUGUCACUUAUAGAUGGAUCCGCGCUGCAUUAGCUAGUUGGUAAGGUAACGGCUUACCAAGGCAACGAUGCAUAGCCGACCUGAGAGGGUGAUCGGCCACACUGGAACUGAGACACGGUCCAGACUCCUAAGGGAGGCAGCAGUAGGGAAUCUUCCGCAAUGGGCGAAAGCCUGACGGAGCAACGCCGCGUGAGUGAUGAAGGUCUUCGGAUCGUAAAACUCUGUUAUUAGGGAAGAACAUAUGUGUAAGUAACUGUGCACAUCUUGACGGUACCUAAUCAGAAAGCCACGGCUAACUACGUG